GCCUUCGGGCAAUUGGUCAAUUGAAACGAUACAGAGAAGAUUAGCGGCACGCCCGGGCACAAGGACGCCGUGACAUCUUGUCUAUGAGAUUUAUACCAUUUUU
rnacentral:snRNA from 1 species